ACUUGUGUUCUAGAGAAUCGUGGAAUGUUGUAGGCUAAUCUACAUAGCAGCUGUCUCCUACAGGGUUUAUAAUGAUGUUGACAAAUGUCUGACCUGAAAUCCGUAUGUGGACUACUUCAUUACUGAAAGACCCUGUAAAUGAAGUAAUACAGAAAUGAAGACACACUGUUUAACUUUAUGCAGAAUUGCUUUUUUUACUCCUGGAGAGCUGUCAACGAGAAACUAAUGCUCUCACUUCUGCUUGUUAGGUCCUGGCCCUGUCUUGAAUAAAUUUGGCAUUAAUAUUAGAAGAUGAUGGAUGAUCAAGACAGCAUUUCAAGUGAGAGGGCUGGAGUGCGCUCCUGGAAAAAGGAUCACUUUGCUGAGAUCCAGACUUAACACGGCUACCCCUCUGAUACUUGUAAUAUAGGUGUGGUCAUUUAGUCAUGAGAAUAGAAGAAUUACCAGACAUGAACUCGAUAUGAGUAAAGUUGGUCAAACAGUCAGUGAAGCAGUCAGCCCUCUGCCUCCCUGAGAGGGAGCAAAAUUGGUUUUAAUGGACAGUUGAGGAACCAGAAAGUGUGAAGAUGUCAGAUUGUGUAUCCAACGACUCCUAAGUUGGUUUGUGUGUGUGGUGGUGGUGGUUUUUUGCACAGAAGACCGUGCCCUUGCUUCUGAGGUGUUUGGGCAUAGUCAUGGAGGGGCCAGAGUCAAUCCUGCAGCAGUGGGUGUGUCAAGCUGGAGGGAAGCAGUCUUUCUGCCACCCCAUUUAGAUGAUCAGUUUGGCCUGGAGUCCUUGCUCCGCAGUCCUGCCUGCACUCAGCCCACCAGGGCCUUUUAAGGGGCUUGCAAGGGUGUUGAAAGGACAGAGGGGGCAGCAGUGCUUGCUGUGUUCUACCCUUGCCACAAAAGGUGACAUGACUUCUGGAUGAAGAGUCCUACAAAUUUGUCAAAAGAUUAAGUUCAGAAUGUCUUGUAGAAGCAUGUGACAAGUGGGGCAACACUGAUACACACUUUGGUCUCUUCUUAAAUAUCCAAUUAAGAAACGAGACUUGCUCUAAACUUAAACUUUUGCCAUGUGUCUUUUAACCAGCACUAAGUAGACUUUUUAGAAGUAAAAUAGCUGUCUAACAAAUUGAAAUGUGCUAAAAUAAACUCAUCAAAAAGAA